UACGGGGGGGGCAAGCGUUGUUCGGAAUUACUGGGCGUAAAGGGCUCGUAGGCGGCCAACUAAGUCAGACGUGAAAUCCCUCGGCUUAACCGGGGAACUGCGUCUGAUACUGAGUGGCUUGAAUUCGGGAGAGGGAUGCAGAAUUCCAGGUGUAGCGGUGAAAUGCGUAGAUAUCUGGAGGAAUACCGGUGGCGAAGGCGGCAUCCUGGACCGAGAUUGACACUGAGGAGCGAAAGCCAGGGGAGCAAACGGG
rnacentral:rRNA from 1 species